UACAGAGGGGGCAAGCGUUGUUCGGAAUUACUGGGCGUAAAGAGCUCGUAGGCGGCUUGUCACGUCGGCUGUGAAAACCCGGGGCUCAACCCCGGGCCUGCAGUCGAUACGGGCAAGCUAGAGUUCGGCAGGGGAGACUGGAAUUCCUGGUGUAGCGGUGAAAUGCGCAGAUAUCAGGAGGAACACCGGUGGCGAAGGCGGGUCUCUGGGCCGAUACUGACGCUGAGGAGCGAAAGCGUGGGGAGCGAACAGG
rnacentral:rRNA from 1 species